rfam:Ornithorhynchus anatinus chromosome 7, whole genome shotgun sequence.
CCCCUCUCAAGAUCACACCUGGAGAGUUUCCAGUAGUCUGCCAGCCUCGGCUAUGGGGGGGAGAGUCAAGCAGAGGCAUACCCAUUCCGUUUCUAGCUUGGGCAGUGGCUAUUGAGUGGAAAUCAAUCUGCUACAAGU